rnacentral:rRNA from 1 species
UAACGCGUGGGUAACCUGCCUCAUACAGGGGGAUAACAGUUAGAAAUGACUGCUAAUACCGCAUAAGACCACGGAGCCGCAUGGCUCAGUGGGAAAAACUCCGGUGGUAUGAGAUGGACCCGCGUCUGAUUAGCUAGUUGGUGAGGUAACGGCCCACCAAGGCGACGAUCGGUAGCCGGACUGAGAGGUUGAACGGCCACAUUGGGACUGAGACACGGCCCAGACUCCUACGGGAGGCAGCAGUGGGGAAUAUUGCACAAUGGGGGAAACCCUGAUGCAGCGACGCCGCGUGGAGGAAGAAGGUCUUCGGAUUGUAAACUCCUGUUGUUGAGGAAGAUAAUGACGGUACUCAACAAGGAAGUGACGGCUAACUACGUGCCAGCAGCCGCGGUAAAACGUAGGUCACAAGCGUUGUCCGGAAUUACUGGGUGUAAAGGGAGCGCAGGCGGGAAGACAAGUUGGAAGUGAAAUCUAUGGGCUCAACCCAUAAACUGCUUUCAAAACUGUUUUUCUUGAGUAGUGCAGAGGUAGGCGGAAUUCCCGGUGUAGCGGUGGAAUGCGUAGAUAUCGGGAGGAACACCAGUGGCGAAGGCGGCCUACUGGGCACCAACUGACGCUGAGGCUCGAAAGUGUGGGUAGCAAACAGGAUUAGAUACCCUGGGUAGUCCACACCGUAAACGAUGAUUACUAGGUG